rnacentral:rRNA from 1 species
CCCUUAGAUGUUCUGGGCCGCACGCGCGCUACACUGAUGCAUUCAACGAGCCUAUCCUUGACCGACAGGUCCGGGUAAUCUUUGAAUCUGCAUCGUGACGGGGAUAGAUUAUUGCAAUUAUUAAUCUUCAACGAGGAAUGCCUAGUAGGCGCAAGUCAUCAGCUUGUGUCGAUUACGUCCCUGCCCUUUGUACACACCGCCCGUCGCUCCUACCGAUUGAGCAUCCCGGUGAAGACUCAGGAGAUAUGUACGUGGCUGGUCUCCAGCUGCGUUGCGUGCCGAAUUUGUCUAAACCUUGAUGCUUAGAGGAAGGAGAAGUCGUAACA